rnacentral:rRNA from 1 species
GACGAACGCUGGCGGCGUGCUUACCACAUGCAAGUCGAGCGGAGCGGCGAACGGGUGAGUAACGCGUGAGUAACUUCACACCUCUCUGGGUUACCAGUUGGAAACGGCUGCUCAUACCGGAUAGUGGGGGAUGACUCGCGUCCUAUCAGCUUGUUGGUGGGGUAGUGGCCUACCAAGGCGCCGCCGGGUAGCCGGCCUGAGAGGGCGCCCGGCCACAUUGGGCUGAGAGACGGCCCAAACGCCUACUGGAGGCAGCAGUGGGGAAUAUUGCACAAUGGGGGAAACCCUGAUGCAGCAACGCGCGUGCGGGAUGACGGCCUGCGGGUUGGAAACCGCUUUCAGCCAUGACGCGGUAGUGGCAGAAGAAGCACAGGCUAACUACGUGCCAGCAGCCGCGGUAAUUC